UACGUAGGGUCCGAGCGUUGUCCGGAAUUACUGGGCGUAAAGAGCUCGUAGGUGGUUUGUCGCGUUGUUCGUGAAAACUCACAGCUUAACUGUGGGCGUGCGGGCGAUACGGGCAGACUGGAGUACUGCAGGGGAGACUGGAAUUCCUGGUGUAGCGGUGGAAUGCGCAGAUAUCAGGAGGAACACCGGUGGCGAAGGCGGGUCUCUGGGACGGUACUGACGCUGAGGCACGAAAGCGUGGGGAGCGAACAGG
rnacentral:rRNA from 1 species